ACUAGAAAGUAGACAUUUUUUUGGAACAAUAAACUGACCUCUGUUUGGGUAUUGCGUGUACAGUGUGCCUAGUGUUGUUACUAACGCGUUGUCGUAAACGCGAAUUGAUAUGAAAUUGAAACAGUUGUGCAGUAGUGCCACUAGAUGGCGCUGUUUCAAUUCCUUAGAAAUUCGCGUUUACGUUAACGCGAUAGUAAUAGUAUCAAACUGCCACUAGGCACACACAACAUAUACAGGGUGAUUCGGUCUUUAGUGCGGAUAUUUUUUUUCGUGGUUCUGUAUCAUUAAUAGAAUAUAAAUCUGCAAACAGUUCGAUACAUUUUAUGUAAUUUUUUUUUUAAUUUAUGUCUCUAAAAUAACAAAAUAAUGUACAUAUUAUUACUAAACAAGAUAUAUUCAGCUUAAAAGUGAUCUGGUGACGUCCUUUAGGUAUCAAACGAAAAUAAAAUAAACGCACAAUAGGGUGACCCUAAAAUUCUGUUCAAAAGUAAAUAACUUUAGCUAACGAUAAUUUUGUUAUUUUGAGUUAAAAAAAAAAGAAAAAAUACGUGAUCAUUAAAUUUUGUUUAUGUACAAAAUAUAAAAAUAUCCGCACUAAAAAAAUUUUCUUCCUGUAUACUCUUUGAACGCAAAAGCUGACGGUUAUUGUGUGUCAUUUAGUAUGGGAAAAACAAAGUUUAUUUAUUUGAUUAAAUAAUUAUAACACUAGAAAUACGUACACAAAACAAAAGAUAAAUCUAUGAAACAUAUGUCAUUGUGCAUCAAUCACAUAAAUUCAAUAACACUGCUAAAGUUCAUCAAUGAAGAACUUUUGAGAUCCAAGAUGAAAUGGCGUUUGAGAACUACAUCAAUUAAGUCACUGACUGACUGACUGUGAAUAUUCACUUAAUAAAUUAGAAUCUGACGACCAAUAGUAGAUCCCUAUUUAAAAAUCAAAAUUAAUUUAUUACAAUUAGGCUUAGUCUACAAGCACUUUUGGAACGCGCCUUCCUUCAAGAAGCCCACAACAGACUCAGCCAAGGUUAAUAUUUUUUUUUGUUUAACACUAUUUUACAAAAUUAUCUAGAACUAAGUACACUAAAUAUAGCAGUGAAGACGUGAUCAAUCAGACCAAAUAAAUUAUGCUAUUAUAGAGUAUGUAUAUAUAUGUAUACAUAAUCUAUACUAUUUAUUCUAAAGCCAUACUCGAAGAGUACUGUUUACUAACAAACUAAUUAGAAAUGAGGGUAUAAAACGGUUGUCAUUUCAUAACUUUUUCAUUUAAAAUUAUGUUUUUUUUAUAAAAUAUUAAUCAAAAUAUAUUAACUAUAUCUAAUUGUUUUAAGUUUAUUAAUUAAAUUUAUUUUCAUUAAUUUAAGACCAAGUUAAUUAUAAUUAUGGUGUGAAAUGACGCGAUUUAUACCCUCAUUUUUAAUUUGUUUGUUGGUAAACAGUAUUUCUCGAGUAUGGCUGCUUUAAUUAUUUAUAGCUAUUGCUAUUGCUUCACCGGCGUGUAAUUUUUUUCUAACUAUGCAUCGGAAACAGUAUGUUUUACCGGAAUGAAAAUAAUCCCAUGUCCUUUUUUGUACUCGUAAGAACGUGGUUAUUAUAUUAUUAAAACCGUAGUAGUAUAUUAUUCAAGCCAUAGGACUUAGAUUUGAUCUUACGCGAGUACAUAAGGUACAAAACGAUUCAAGAUCACCAAUCAGUACACCAACGGAUGGUGAUGAUGAUGGCUCACAAAUUUUGAUUUGUAUUUCUAAUAAAAAAAAAUGAAAUUUCAAUAUCAGAUAAGGCUUUAAAAAACAUAUUUAUGGUUUACUUGGUUGUUUUAUUUUAUUUUACCUAAAAGGCACUAGAACUAUAAUUAUUUUAUAAUUAAGUGAUACUCUUUAAAUUAAUUGUUGAAGAAGAAAACGUAAUUUUUGACGGCCUGCGUGGCGUAGUGGUAUGCGCGGUGGAUUUACAAAACGGAGGUCCUGAAUUCGAUCCCCGGCUGGCAGGUUGAGAUUUUCUUAAUUGGUCCAGGUCUGGCUGGUGGGACGCCUUGGCCGUGGCUAGCUACCACCCUACCGGCAAAACGUACCGCCGAGCGAUAUAGCGUUCCGGUACGAUGCCGUGUAGAAACCGAUAGGGCUGUGGAUUUUCAACCUCUUCCUAACAAGUUAGCCCGCUUCCAUCUUAGACUGCAUCAUCACUUACCAUCAGGUGAGAAUAGUCAAGGGCUAACUUGUAAAGAAUAAAAAAAAUCGCAUGUUAAUCCAGAAUGGUGUAUUUUAUUAAAGAGUAAGUUUAGUUGGUCAAACUUAUAGGUAACCACGCACCUAUUAAAUAUAUAAUUAUGAUGAAAAAUUAAAUGUUGCUCUUUCCAGAAAUAGUCUAUUUGCAGUUUGAAUAUAGGAAACAUCCUGCUUUGUUGUUUAGAGGACAUAUAUACAAAAAAGCCAAGACCAGUAUCAAAACUGGGACGGUACUCUGGAUAUGUGCCAAGGUGCACCAGGGCUGCAGAGCUCGCUGCUUCGUAUCAAAGGAUGAUACAGAAAUCGAAGCCAGAGGUGAACAUAAUCACUCGAAAGUCAAUUGCAACGAUAUAUAUAAUAAAUAGAGACAAUGCUCACAUAAUUUGCGACGGUUGUUGUUGCUCCUCGCGUACAACAGUUACACUGACCUAUAGAAAGCAAUAGUCAGGGAUCCGUAGAAAUUUUUUUACAACUGAUUACUGUCAAGUUAAUUUUUCGUGAGUAGUUUGAUGAGACGAUCAACUUUAUUUUUUACGAAAACGUCGGAGAGAUUAACUUGAUAGUAAUCAGUUGUAAAAAAUGUUCUACGGAUCCCCGACUACUACAACGUGUGUUUCGGGGGAUAUAUUUUUUUAACAGUUCCUACGUUAAUAGUAUGAAUAAAUCAUUACAUGCCAGGUGGUAUCGCACACGGCAUCUUUCGUCAAAAUAUCAUAGAACGAGACAUGGUAAAGAUUAAGAUUAUGUUUGAUCAACAAAGUUUGACAAACAGCAUAAAAAAUAAUUAUACAAUUUUAGGUUUUUAAAUUUAAGAGAAGCGUUACGAUCAGAAAUUUUAACAUUAUGUAUUUUUAUCAGUUACUUUAUGGAAUAUUGCAACAGUGUUUUCUUUUAUUACUAUUUUUUUAAAAUAGAUUGCAAUAAAUGAAGUAUGACUGGCACUAUUGUUUCAUUUAAAGUAUAUUCAGUAAACUCCGUCUUUUAAUCAACAAUCAAAAUUAAUAAAUAAAGUUGAUUUUUGAAGUUUACUCCUUAAGAAUCGAUUUUUCAUAUAUAGCCCCGGGUAUGAAAAAAAUAUGGGUAGUAAAAUUCGGUGAACGAAUGACAGCGUUACGCACGCACGCUGUUGGCGGGUGCGCACGCCGCGGUCUGCUGCUCCUCGGUUGCGCACCUUUCACUUUUCAGGCGUAGGUAUUGAGACGUACAUAGUGUAUGCUGCGGGGCAAUAUACACCUAUUUAGACAGUCGAUCUGAAAGAGUAAACUUCAUUCAUGUGUCGGAGCUGACACACACUUUUUUUUAAGAAAUUAGAAAAACAAUAUAACAAUAAUAAUACAAUAGAAGAAUAUAAACAAAAAAUACAAUUUUUAAUUUAAUGAAACAUGUUUCUAGUAUGUUUCCUGCCAAGUAACCGAAAGAAGAAUCCUUUGCUAAUGUACAACAAUUAUACCUACAAGAAGCAGUGGGAGUGUACUACGGGAAAAGUGAUUUGGUAUUGUUCUAAAAGGAAAAGGGGUUGCAAGGCCUUCGUCCAUAGUAUGCAAGGUCUGUUCACACCAGGUGACCUGAACCAUACGCACCCCGCACCAGCCUACACGAGAGGUCAAGAUGGCACUUGGGUGAAACUAUAAGGUUUAUAGUAUGAAACUUUAGGUCUUGUCUGAGAUCUAGCAGUCUUAUAAUAGAUAUUGCAAACUCAGUACAAAUAUGAAAGUAAGAAUUAUCGUAGCUGUAAGUUACCUAUUAGUAAGAUACAAAAAAAUACAAAAGUUGUACAUUGCCAAGUUAUUUUUUGUUUGUUAAUUAAUAUUAUGUAAUUAUAAAAUAUUUAAUUAACAUUAUACAGGGUGCUGGGGAGUAUUUCCCUUAACUUUAAGAUGUUGACGAUAGGAGCCUAACUGCAUAACUAAUAUUUUUAACUAAAAAAUAUUUUUUUUUAUGUUUUCAUACAAAUUAAUUCCGAAUAGCCAUGUAACACACGCGUUUAUCUAUCCUUGCAUUUUAAAAUUUUAAAGUUUGGGCACAAUUUGGGUACGUCAUAAUUAUAAGGAUGCGUUAAGGUACACAUUUUGAGAUCUAUUUACAAAAGAAAUUUAUUUACGAAAAUAUUAAUUUUUGAACAAAUGUUCUUUGAUCAUUUUUAAAUAAUUUUCGGUAAACUAUAUAACCCCAGAGUUAUGGGAAAUACUCCCGAGCACCCUGUAUAAUGAGCAAAAACAUAAAAGUUUGUUUGUUUGUUGUUUUGUUUCUUGCUCAUUACACAAUAUUUCAUCGACUUGCCUAACGAUUUAUGUUCCAAUUACUACUUUUGUAGUAUCUAGCUUUUUUUUGAAAGUUAAAUUAAUGUACAAAUUAUAUUUAUUCAAUAUUUUGUUCAUGAUGAAAAAUGUUAUGUACCUACAGAAAUGUUAAAAUUAUGUUCAAUGAUUAUAUUGAAUUAAAAAUAAUCCUAUUGUGUGGAGUGUAUUUCUAGUUUUAAUUGUGAUUGGCGUUGCGUGGGUUUGUAUACCAAACCAAAAACUAGAGAAAGUUGUUUAUAAGUUUUAUUAAAAAAAAAUUACCUUUACAACUACGGACAUUACAAAAUAUUUAAAACAAUUCUGAUAUUUAUUUCAACUAGCCGACGCCCCGAGAUUCUGCGUAGUGCCCGUUCCCGUGAGAAUUCGGGGAUAAAAUAUAGCCACAAAUAACAUGGCUUUCUAGUGGUAAAAGUAUUUUCAAAAUAGAUUCAGUAUAUCCAGAUCCCUACAACCUCACAAACUUUACCUAUUUAUAAUAUUAGUACAGAUCACGGAUUAAAGGAGCGUAAGCUUUUAGUGUUUUCUGUUCUGUGGUAUAGACUAUAGAAAACAAACCCUUAAUAGUCAAUCUUCAUCCAGCGUCAUUAAUCUCUUGUAAAACUUAGCCUCAAGUUCAACCUGAAUAAGUGGGGAUAACAUUUUUUUUGAUGGCUUUUAGACUUAAUGAGCCUUUUUGAAGUGUAAUGUCUGUUUGUUUGUACUCCAUCAAUGAUUUUAUUAAUGUUGGAAAAUGUACUAAAUUAAAUACAAUCAUAGAUAAUACGAAAUAUUGUAAAAUAAUUAUAACUGGAUUAUUUUUAAAUUCCUCAGUAUUUUGUUACAUUGUAAUUUUCGUUUUUGUAAUUAAAGCAAAUUGAUGAGUUAAUAGAUCUCAUAACAUAAGGAGAAAAGUUGUUUGUGUUACUUAUUACUUGGUUUAUAUCUCAAAAUUUAAAAGUUUUAUAUUUUUUACAACGAAAACAAUAGCUUUUCUUAUAAAUUUUUUAUUUUGUUUAGAAAAUUGUUCAUUGAAUUCGCUACAAUUGACAAUACAUUUGGCAAUACAAUUCCAUUCCUAUAAUAUGCUUGAAAAAACCAAAUAUUCUUUCAGUAUUUUUCAGAACAUCAAGCCGAGGUACACGUCAGUUGGUCAUAAACGGGUAUUCGUUCAUCUGUAGAAGUUACUGUCUCAACCACAUCAAAAAAAUAUGGAAAUGUGCGACGAACGCCGACUGUACGGCCAAAGUUCACACAAUUCAAGAUCAAAUCGUCAUAUUGAAUAACGACCACAAUCACCCCUCUAGUGCGCUAGAGUGGAAGUUUCCCCGUCUACCUAGACAUUUGAGUCGCCCAAACCUAGUGAAUUAACAUUUUUUUUAAGAUGUAAGUUUGACAGCGUUGAAAUAUUUUACUUUGGUGCUGCAGAUACAUAUAUUUUUGACACAGUUAUCAAAUAAUCUACCUGACGAUGAAAUGUUACACAAAUAUUGAUUUAAUUUUUUAAAAAUUAUUUCGAUACAAAUUAUAUUAAGUUGUCUAUUUUUAUUUAUUUAUUAUUAACUUUCCUGUGUCUUGCACCUUCUAAGCAAAAACAAAAAAUGCUUAUUUUAAAAGAAACAUUUUAACAUUGUCAAUUUUACCAUAUACAUACCAUGUUACCAACGUUUUUAUGAUAAUUUUAAGCUUAUUUACAUUACAUGAGUUUUUAUAAUGAAUAUAUGAAUUAUUAGGAUACACAGACCGUGAUAUUAUAUUAAAGUCGUGCUAUUCGACUAACGUAUCUCUAAGCCAAACUAAAUUAGCAAGCACAAAAUCCGUACUAAGUAAAAAAAUAAAAAUAAUGUAUAAAGAAAUUUUUUCUUCUAAAUUUUUUUUUUUACUUACUAUGAAUUACAAAUACUUUGUUGUAAUUUCAGCAAACAACGUAUUUAGAUUUGUUUAGAGAUAUAUACAUAUAAUUCUAGAAAGCAGGCUGUUAGCAAAUAAAUUUGUAUUGAAAAUUUAUGAACCAUUAAAAAUUAUUUGUUUUAACAAUGAUUUUAUAAAUUUGUAGUUAGAGAUAUAUUGAAAAAAAGUCUUCUGAACCCAAAACCACUCUAUUGACAAAGACGAAAUCCUUCGCUUAAAGCGAAGGAUUAUACUAAGGCUGUAUAUUCGUAUGUCAAGUCUUAUUACCUCCAAGGUACCUACGAUAGAAUAAAGAAACCGGUAUUCGGAACAUUAUAAAUUUAUAAUGAUAGUAUUGAUACUACGCUUGUUAAGCAAUAGCACUAUAUUUAUCUCUGCGUUGCGGUAUAUAAUAUACAGGGUGCUCGGGAGUAUUUCCCAUAACUUCAAAGUGUUGACGAGUCCACUUAAUAUUUCAAAUAAUUCCGACUCCAUCCAAUCCAUGUAACACACUGUCCUUUAUCUAUCCUUGCAUUUAAAAAAAAUAAAAUACGUAAAACUUUGCUACGUCAUGAUUAAAAGGAUGCGUUUAAGGUACACAUUCAAAGAUCUAUUUAAGUACAAAAGAAAUAUUAUUUACCCCAAAAAUAUUAAUUUUAGAACACAUGUUCCUUGAACAUUUUUUUUAAUUUUCGGUAAAGAAUAUAACCCCAGAGUUGGAAAUACUCCCCAGCCCCAUUGUAUAUAUAAGAGUAAGUAUAUAUAUCCACGACACUCUGUGAAACAGUCUAUAUAAAGUGUAGUGUAAGUGAAAGUAAUAUUUCAAUGGAACUUCACAAUUCCAGGUAUAUACUUUACAUCUUCACAGAGGGGUGGUUAUAUCCUUCACAUGGACGACUACACUUACAACAAACGAAACACCACCCGAGAUCGCACUACGUGGUAUUGCACGAAUUAUUACAGCAUUCCACCGUGCAAAGCUAAAGUUAUCACUAUAGGGAAAGACGUCAUCGCUGACGUUGGUAUUCAUAAUCACGCACAAGGAUCUAAUAAAGUAAAUGAAAACGCCGGAAGAUCAGACGAAUAGCCUGGAAGAAAUAUCUUCACAAAACGAAGGGAACCUCGGAUCUUCAAUACAGCCAAAGGGGGCCAAGUGUUGAUACUGCAAGGACAUCGCUUUCAUCGGGAGUACGGAAGAGUGGGGAGAAGUUACUGGCGCUGUACUAAAAGACUGAUGUAUUCUUGUAAAUGCACCGUAAGGAUCAUUAAUGGGCAAAUAUUCUCUAUGGGCGAGCAUAGUCAUAAAUAAAUACACUGAAAAUAAAAAUGAAAUUUUAAUUUGUCAACUAAGGCUCCAAAAUAGACUAAUAAUUUCUGGUAAUCUUAAAAAUAAGGAUUUUGGUUCUAUUAUGAGCAUGUAUCUAAACCAUUCAGUGAUUAAUAAAUGUUUUCCAAGGGUUAGGCAUUGACCUCUCAUAAUAAAAGGACGCACUAUCAUAUAGAAAAUUUCACUUAAAAAAUGGCCAAUUUUGCUUUGACAGUUUUAGAAUUAUACCUAAAGGCCUUUAAAUAUAGUCCAAUAUUCAAUUAAAUCCCAAAUUCAUAGCAAAUCAACCGUAAGGAUUGGGUUUAAGGUUGAAUUUGCAAAUGCGACUACUUGAAUGAGUGCCAAGAAGUUGUGUUUGGCACUCAUUGAGUGGGGACGUUUUUUGGUCGCUGAUUGUGCAUCCACUUUUUAAUAGAUCGAUGGGGUUAGGUUUUAAUUAUGUAAUCAAUGACAUAUUUUUUUUUAAUGUAGUUAGAAUUUGAUUUUUAGCUUAAUUUUUUUUCGAUUGUCAGUGUAAAUACAGUUACAUAGAUCAAUAUUUAGGUAAAGAUUUAAUUGUAAAUAUUUAUUGCUUAAAUGACUUCUGUGUGUCAAGAAUGAAGAUGUUAUUUGUUGUUGCGCCAUUUAUUUGAUGCUAUACUAUGUCUAUUCUUUAAUAUCUUGAUAGGGAUGAUAUAUUCUUUUAAAACUUUUCGGUAUAUUCGGUCAAAAAAUUAAUGUGAUCAAAAUUGUUAUAAAAUUAUAGCAUUCCAAAUAUACAUGUUAAUAUGUUUA